UACAGAGGUCUCAAGCGUUGUUCGGAUUCACUGGGCGUAAAGGGCGCGUAGGCGGCUCAUGAAGGCUGUGGUGAAAGUCCGGGGCUCAACCUCGGAUCGGCCGUGGCGACUCGUGGGCUGGAGCACUGUAGAGGCGGGUGGAAUUCCGGGUGUAGCGGUGGAAUGCGUAGAGAUCCGGAAGAACACCAGUGGCGAAGGCGGCCCGCUGGGCAGUGGCUGACGCUGAGGCGCGACAGCGUGGGGAGCAAACAGG
rnacentral:rRNA from 1 species